rnacentral:lncRNA from 1 species
CAAGAACCCAAACAGCGAGCGCUGAAAUGGGGCGGCGUGCGGAUCCCUGCAGUAGGGGUAGGGAAGGAGCCCUGCGCCGGGAGGUGGCUAAUGUUGCAAACUGCAGCUUCGGGAACCCUGCGUGAGGGCCUCCUCCGAAAGGGGAAUCGACAGUUGAUUAGCAUGUUCCUGGAUAUAUCCAGCACAGAUUCUUGCUUCCUGAAAGCGCAAGUAGCUGGAAUUGGGAUAGGAACUCAGGCCUUUUACUCUUCCUGAGUUUGUUGAUAUCCUUCCCAUUCUUGUCAGGCUGCUGAAUAAUGAGGGAUCGUUGCUGGCCUACUCCGGUUAUGGGGACACAGAUGCCCGGGUCACCGCGGCCAUCGCCAGUAACAUCUGGGCCGCAUACGAUAGGAACGGGAACCAAGCGUUUAAUGAAGACAGUCUCAAAUUUAUCCUCAUGGACUGCAUGGAGGGCCGUGUAGCCAUUACCAGGGUGGCCAACCUUCUGCUAUGUAUGUAUGCCAAGGAGACUGUA